UUAUUACUUUUACCUCAUUAAGGUGCUGACAUUUCAGGCAAGGCGCGGUGAGUGAGGUGAAGGGAAAGCAAGGGGACCCAGGAGGCUGGAGGUCGAUGUGAGUGGAGUGGCGUCAUAGCACCGGGGCCGCGUGCUUGGAGCCUUCUUGAUCAAAGCUGUAUAACGGUACUGAUGAGGACAGGCGACUUUUUUGAGAUCUUACUAUGGGCCAAGCAUUACACUAAUCAAAUACCUGCCACGUAUUAAGUUCCUCGAUCCUAACAUGCAACCUAUGAUCAAUGCUAUUGGCUCACUAUUUUAUGUUUAUUUUUGCUGUAGGGAUAAGGAGCUGAGGUUUAUGGAAGGAACUUGACCAAGGUCACAAUCUGUGUUCUCUCCACUGAAUCUACAGGCAGAGCCAUUGGAUGUGCAGCUUCAGCAAGGGGCUCUUUCUAACGGGCCCCCAAGGCCAAUCCUGAAAGGAGAAGCAGCAACAUUGGAGCCGUCUCUCGCCUCCCACCCCAAGUUCAUCUAGCAGCCCUGCCCCACCCCCUCGAGCAGGCAGAUUUUCUCCCCGACACUUCUCUAUGCAUAGGUAUGUAUAACACAUUGGAAAAUUGGAUCACACUCUACCUAGAGGUCCGAGGCUUAUCUUCUCCCUUUAAACAUACGGGGCGCCUUUCACUGUCAAUUCACAGAGGUCUGCUGUAAUCUGUUGAAAAUAGUUUCACUGUAUUUCGUCAUAGGACAUAGCAGACAUACCACAAUACACCAAGCCAGUCUCCCACUCAUGAGCAGUAUAGCUGUCUCCAGCUUUUGGCUGUUGCCGGUGCUGCAGUGCACAUUUCUGCACACCCGAGCAGUCUUGUUUUGAACCCACCAACCACUGUGCUUCCUCACCAUGGCUUUUACUUAGGAAAGUACUAAACGGGAGUGCAUUUCUCCUGGGCUGGGGGACUCAGCUCUCCACGCCCAGUUUCAAGCUGCCCUGCAAGCCGGCGCCCCACGGGUUCUGAGCCAACGUCAGUGAGAAUGACCAUGCGUGAGAAUCCGGACCCCACAGAGUCACCAGCCUGGCCGGCCUCUCACCUCCUGUUCCGGGGAACGGAGGCACCUCUGCAUCAUUUUCUGUAAUGCCAAAGGAAAUCCCCAGAUAAGACGGACACCCUCAUGCUUCACAGGAGACACUCCCCCACUCCCACGGAGAUAAACUCAUGAAUGCUUUCUUAAUCACAGCUCAUGAUUCUCUGGGGCCCUCCCGGGGCUGCCAAAACCUCUCUCAGCCCAUUGCUGCUGCUACCGCAGCCAGACACAGCACUUCCUAGAAAAUCAUCAUCCCGUUUACUGUUUAUUCUUG
rnacentral:lncRNA from 1 species